rnacentral:rRNA from 1 species
AUUGAACGCUGGCGGCAGGCCUAACACAUGCAAGUCGAACGAGUGGCGGACGGGUGGGUAAUGUAUGGGCAACUGCCUGAUGGAGGGGGAUAACUACUGGCAACGGUAGCUAAUACCGCAUACCAUCAGAUGUGCCCAGAUGGGAUUAGCUUGUUGUGGGGGUAACGGCUCACCAAGGCGACGAUCCCUAGCUGGUCUGAGAGGAUGACCAGCGACCCGGGGACUGAGACACGGUCCAGAAUCCUACGGGAGGCAGCAGUGGGGAAUAUUGCACAAGGGGCGCAAGCCUGAUGCAGCCAUGCCGCGUGUAUGAAGAAGGCCUUCGGGUUGUAAAGUACUUUCAGCGGGGAGGCGUUACCCACAGAAGAAGCACCGGCUAACUCCGUGCCAGCAGCCGCGGUAAUUC